AAGUAUAUUAUUUGUUACAGAUGGACUAAGGAUGAAGGAAGGGCAACUUCUGGACUUUUGAAUCUAAAGUGUCACAUGGUCAAUAUUAAUUGGCAGGCAAAUAUGAAUUCUUUACUGUGAAUAGCUUUGGAAGGAAAGAAUACUAUGGACUAAGGAUGAAGGAAGGGCAACUUCUGGACUUUUGAAUCUAAAGUGUCACAUGGUCAAUAUUAAUUGGCAGGCAAAUAUGAAUACUUUACUGUGAAUAGCUUUGGAAGGAAAGAAUACUAUGGACUAAGGAUGAAGGAAGGGCAACUUCUGGACUUUUGAAUCUAAAGUGUCACAUGGUCAAUAUUAAUUGGCAGGCAAAUAUGAAUUCUUUACUGUGAAUAGCUUUGGAAGGAAAGAAUACUAUGGAGUAAGGAUGAAGGAAGGGCAACUUCUGGACUUUUGAAUCUAAAGUGUCACAUGGUCAAUAUUAAUUGGCAGGCAAAUAUGAAUUCUUUACUGUGAAUAGCUUUGGAAGGAAAGAAUACUAUGGAGUAAGGAUGAAGGGAGAGCUUCUUCUGAAGUUUUGAAUCUAAAGUAUCACAUGGUCAAUAUAAAUUGGCAGGGAAAUAUCAAUUCUUUACUGUGAAUAUCAGAAAUAAUUAUUUUAGUAUCACUAACUUGAGAACCUCCAAGUUAGUUUUAUAGUUAUAAAAUAGUCAAAAUUUUUAAAUACCUAUGUGAGUAACACAAAUUGCAAUUAAGAUAACGCAGCGAUACUCCACACCAAAAUAACCAAAAUCUCUUAGAUAGGUAGUUAU